rnacentral:lncRNA from 1 species
GCAUGGACAUGGUGCAUGGACCAAUGGUGCUCAGGCACGGUGCUCGGCCGUGCACCGUGAACAUGGUGGUCAACCACGGUGCUUGGCCAUGGUGCGUGGACACGGUGCUGGGGCGCGGUGCUCGGACACGAUGUGUGGACAUGGUGCUCAGCCAGGGGGUGUGAACGUGGUGCUCGGCCAUGGUGCUCAGACGUGGUGCGUGGACAUGAUGCUCAGCCGCGAUGCGUGAACAUGGUGCUUGGCCGCGGUGCUUGGACUUCGGUGUGUGGACAGGGUGCUCAACCAGGGGGUGUGAACAUGGUGCUUGAACAUGGUGCGUGGACACGGUGCUCGGGCAGGGUCCUCAGCCCGGCGCAGGGGGUGUUGUGCAUGCACGAUGCACGGGCACGGUGCACGGGCACGAUAUGUUGGUGUGGUGCUCAGGCACCAUGCAUGGACGUGGUGCUUGGACGUGGUGCUCGGGCAUGGUGGUUGGGGACGGUGCCCAACCAUGGUGCUUGAAUGGGGUGCAUGGGCUCGGAGAGGGUGCUCGGGCACGGUGCAAGGGCAUGGUGCAUGGACACGGUGCUUGGGCAUGCUCCACAGAUACGGUGCACGGGCACGGUGCUUGCCCACCAUGCACAGACACGGUGCUUGGGCACGGUGGUUGGGCAUGAUGCUCACCCACCAUGCAUGGACACGGUGGUUGGGCAUGGUGCUCACCCAUCAUGCGUGGACACGGUGCUUGGGCAUGGUGGUCACCCACUAUGCGUGGACACGGUGCUUGGGCAUGGUCAUUGGGCACUGUGGUCACCCACCAUGUGUGGAUACGGUCUUUGGGCACGGUGUUUGGGCAUGGUGCUUGCCCACCUUGCACAGCCAUGGUGCUUGGCCACGGUGGUUGGGCAUGGUGCUCACCCACCACGCAAGGACACGGUCUUUGGGCUCGGUGGUCACCCACCGUAUGUGUUCAUGGUGCUUGGCCAUGGUGCUUGGGCACAGUGCUCACCCACCAUGUGUGGACGUGGUCCUUGGGCUCGGUGGUCAACCACCAUGCGUGGACGUGGUCCUUGGGCUCUGUGGUCACGGUGCUUGGGCACAGUGGUCACCCACCAUGUGUGGACAUGGGCCUUGGGCACAGUGGUCACCCACCAUGCGUGGACAUGGUCUUUGGGUGUGGUGGUCACCCACCAUGCGUGGUCAUGGUGCUUGGCCAUGGUGGUCACCCACCACGUGUGGUCACGGUGCUUGGUCACGGUGCUUGCCCACCACGCACGGACACGGUGCCCCCCCACGGUGCUUCACCGCGCUGUGGGCACACGAGACACACAACCCCCCCCCCAGAGCCCAGACCCCCAGCACCGUCCCACCACCCGCUGCAGGACCACCCUCCCGGCACCGUCCCCCAGCCCUGGUGUCCCCCCCCCUGCCCCGCGCCCCUCAGCACCGGGCUCCCCCCAAAUCCCUGGUGGCCCCGGCCGCGGGGGCUGAGCCGGGGGUCCCGCUUCCGCCCCUCUCUUUCUUCCCCCCCCCCCUCCUCCUUCUUUUUUUCCAUU